ensembl:lncRNA
ACACACACACACACACACACACUUUCAUUGCGUAAGGGAACAGAAAAUAAACUUAAAUCAGUGGUCGGCAGAAGGGACUCAUUCUUCAACACAAUCAGUAUUGUCAGCUGAAUCCAUCUGGGACUCAACAAGACGCAGAGAAACCCUGGAUCAAUGAUAAAUGAUUUACACAGAUCAAUCCCAACUCGUUUUGUUCGGUCUGAGAGUGGGAGCAGAGAGAUUGUUGUAUUUCUGAAAGGUUUGUUUGUCUGUGUUAGUUGACAAAGGUAAUGGAUAAAAUGAACUGAUGCCCUGCUCUGACAGACAGAGGUAACAUGAACGUGUAAGUACUCGAGUGCAGAUGUUGUUUCUCCGCAGGAACCCUACAGCAGGUCAACUCUUCAAUUCAGCUCAAACUUGUAAAAGUGAGGCAUUUCAGCGUGAUUAUGUAACUCAUGAGGCAAGCAAAGACCUAUCACUGCAGACUGUACAAGACAAUCAUCUGUUCUCUUUAAACAGCUCAAUUAAAAUGUGUUUUGGGUGAAAGAGUUUUAGAAAUAAAUCAACUUGUAAAAAAAAAAAAAAUGUAUCUCCAAAAUUUCCACUAGCACUAAAACAUUAAAUUAAAACCCAUUUAUUAUGUCAAAGAUAUCGUAUUAUUCAAUAAGAACAUGUCCUGAAUAACCGCCUAAAGUCUCACACGAUGGUAACAACAAAUCAGUGAAGUCUUUCUGAGUGUUUCACCAAAAAUAAAUCAAUAUGUGUUUAUUUAGUAUAAACAAAAAAGGAGGCCUAAGACCAUUAAGAUAUUGUCUUUUGAUGUCUUAUUCAUUUAUUUAUAAUUUUCAUAAAUCUAAGUUAUGAUUACCGCAGAUUCUCUAAUAUAAUCUUUUAUUGUAUUACAGUAAAAAUACCACGAUUAAAAAAUGUGUUAAUUCAGAAAAAAUUGAAAGUUGUAAAACAAAUACGAUUACGUAUAAAUGCUAUCAAAUUCAAUUAAUAUACUGUUUGUUUGUUUUUAUUGGGCUACAGUAAUGAGAAUCAAUAAUGAGAGUUUAAGAGUUUCAUUAAUAGUGCUAAAAAUAGGCUUCAGUUUCUUCAAGCAAAAUGGGAAACACUUUACAAUGAGGUCUAUUAGUAAAUGUUAAUUAAUGCAUUAACCAACAAUGAGCGAUAUGAAUUAAUCUUUGAAUUUUAUUAUUGUAUUAUUUUUUUUAUUUUUUUUUUUUGAUGUGAGGGGAGAAGGAACUCUUUGAAUGUUCAUUAGAUUGCUGUUUAUGUGCAGCUAUAUUCGGUUGUACACUCUGUUUUAAGAUCUGCAUGAUUGGCUGAGAGUGUAUGUAACAGCAGGGUCAUAAUGGACAUGUUCAUUCAUGUGUACCAGCUGAAGCGCAUGACCAUCUCUCAGUCUCGUCCUGUGCAUAGCAACCGCUGUCAAUGGAGAUGACUGAGAGAGAAGCGUGUCGUGAUCCACGCUCUCCCUGCCCUCACAAGAACACAAGCUGUUUUUCAGCUCCACGUACACCUGAGACAGAGGCUUCCCAGAACCAGUUCAACUUAAGACAACUUCAGCGGAGGACAGUCUUUUUUCAUUCAAGCCCACCCUUGUGAAAAAGAAGUCCACUUAAGUAUACUUUUAAAAAGAAUAUUAUUAAUGAAAUAUUAUAAAAGAAGAAUGAGCUAAAUGUAAUGUUUUCAGACACUUAACUGCAUUUUAAAUCAUCACAGUUCAAAUUCAUAUUAAAUUCAAUUAGUUAAACUUAAGUAUGUCUUUAAAUAUAAUUUCCUAAAUCUACUGGAAUAUGGUUAAAGUGGAACUACUGAAUGUACCGACAUGCGUUUAUGAUCAACUAAAAAAUAUGUUAAUGUCAUGUGUACUGGUGAUAUAUUUAAAAUAUAACAUAAUAUUAACAUUAAAUGAAAAAUAAAAAAAAAACUCAUUGCAGUUAAAAUUACAAUCAAGUACUUUACACAUGCUUUACUACACAUUAAAAUAAGAAAGCACAAUGAAAGAUGAUUAAAGCACAAGUAUUUUAACAGAGUGCACUUAUUUAAAGUGUACUUAAGUACGUUUAGAAACAUAGUAAUAAAAGUGAACUCACUUAAAGUAGGCCUACACUUAAGUGGCCUUUUAUUAAUAUGUAUUAUCUGUAAAUACCAUUUUUCCCCCCUAUAUGUGCACUUUAUAAACUUUAAGAUCUAAAAUGCAUUACAAUAUAAUUAAGCACACUUUUUAAUUUCCUGUCAUGUGUGGGUUUAGUGCACUGCUACUGUAGUGUAGAUGUAAAAACAGGCUGUAGGCAUUGAUUUUGCUCGAUGCUUCUAGGGACAUACAGUGCAUUCGGUGCUCAGAUUAUAUCAGUGUUUCCUGGAGAACAAACCCAUGACCUUUGUGCCGCUUGCUCCACACUCCAGCAGCUGAGAUACUAAAACAUUCAGAUGCCCGAGGCGUUUCACAGAACAGCUGUCGAGACAACAUGUUAUGCUCACCUGGCUGGGAGGUAAAUCAGUGAGUAUUUGUAAUGGCUGGCCCUGGGAGAGUCGUUAAGGGGGCAAGCACUCAAGCGUGAGCAAGCAGUUGUGGGCAGGUAGAUACAGACAUGCGCCACUGGAUUUACGGAGACAAGCCAGUGACUGAAUGCAACUACUAAGCAAACACCAGAACAACCUUCAGAAUCCAAAUCUUCAAGAGAUAGUUCAACCAAAAAUGAAAAUACAGUCAGUAAUUACUCACCCUCAUGUCGUUCCAAACCCGUAAGACCUUUGUUCAUCUUUGAAACACAAAUUAAGAUAUUUUUGACGAAAUCCGAGAGCUUUCUGACCCUCCAUAGAGAGCAAGGGUACUCCGAUGUUCAAGGCAUGCAUCGUGAUACUCUCCAUAAUGGCGCCAGGGUGCUGUGGUGGAGAAUUGUUGAAUAAAGUGGUUAUUUUUGUUUUCUUUGCACACAAAACAUAUUCUCGUAGCUUCAUAAAAUUACAGUUGAACCACUGAUGUCACAUGAAUUAUUUUAACAAUGUUCUCACUAACUUUCUGGGCCUUGAAUGUGGUAGUACCCUUGCUGUCUAUGGGAGGGUCAGAGAGCUCUCGGAUUUCAUCAAAAAUAUCUUAAUUUGUGUUCAGAAGUAUUACAGGUUUUGAACGACGUGAGGAGUAAUUAAUGACAGAACUUUUUCCAUUUCUGGGUGAAACUUUAAGACUGAAGCUAAAUCAUAACUAGAGACUAAAUCAUUUUUGCAGUGUUAAUUUUGUAAUAAUUAUAUUAUAGUAUUAAAUAUAAGGAAAUAUUGUAACUAACUAUUAAGAAAGUUACUUUAAAAAGUAAUGCAUUGAAAUAUUGUGUUACUCCAUAAAAAAGUAACAGAUUGCGUUAGUUAGGAAAGUAA